AGAGUUUGAUCCUGGCUCAGAACGAACGCUGGCGGCAGGCCUAACACAUGCAAGUCGAGCGCCCGCAAGGGAGCGGCAGACGGGUGAGUAACGCGUGGGAACGUGCCCUUUGGUUCGGAAUAUUCCCGGGAAACUGGGAGCAAAACCGGAUAAGCCCUUCGGGGGAAAGUUUACGCCAAAGGAUCGGCCCGCGUUAGAUUAGGUAGUUGGUGGGGUAACGGCCUACCAAGCCUACGAUCUGUAGCUGAUCUGAGAGGAUGAUCAGCCACACUGGGACUGAGACACGGCCCAGACUCCUACGGGAGGCAGCAGUGGGGAAUCUUGGACAAUGGGCGCAAGCCUGAUCCAGCCAUGCCGCGUGGAUGACUGAAGGCCCUAGGGUUGUAAAGUCCUUUCGACGGGGACGAUAAUGACGGUACCCGUAGAAGAAGCCCCGGCUAACUUCGUGCCAGCAGCCGCGGUAAUACGAAGGGGGCUAGCGUUGUUCGGAUUUACUGGGCGUAAAGGGCGCGUAGGCGGACUUUUAAGUCGGGGGUGAAAUCCCGGAGCUCAACUCCGGAACUGCCUUCGAUACUGGAAGUCUGGAGCACGGUAGAGGUGAGUGGAAUUCCGAGUGUAGCGGUGAAAUGCGUAGA
rnacentral:rRNA from 1 species